GAGGACCUAGUAAACACCUAUUACAUGGCUUUGUCGCGGCCAAAUCACAGCACCUGUGGUCCUCA
rnacentral:tRNA from 1 species